AUAGCGGUGGCCGCGGUGGCUAUCCAAACCAGGGGGGCGAGGCGGUGCCCCCCAGUUCGGCGCUCAGGGAGGCAACCCAGGAGGAAACGGCGGAGGCAGCGGCCACAGGAUCGGACAACCCAACGCUGGUGGCUCCAAGCCGGUGUGUCAGAUCUGUGGUAAGAUUGGACAUGUAGCAUACAAGUGUUACAAUAGGUACAAUGCAGAGUACCAAGGGGCAGAUCCUCGCCAAGAACACCCGCGCUUCGCCAACCAUGCCAACACCGGCCAUCAAGCCUUCGAUCUUGCGUGGUACCUGGACUCAGGGGCUACCGAUCACAUCACUGAUGAUUUAGAAAAGCUUAACAUCCGGGAUGCCUACAACGGCAAGGAUCAGGUUCACGGGCCUAAUGGAUCUGGACCUGGCCACGAGGAGGGUGCUAGCCUACGGGGCGGCCAGUGAAGACGGUCUCUACCCAGUUUAUGGCAGGCGUUCGAGUCAACAUAGAGCAGCCCUGUCCAUCUCCAACAAGCCAAGUCACUCCCGAUGGCACCGACGAUUGGGUCACCCGUCGUCUGUCAUAGUCGAUCAUGUUCUUAGUCGUUUCAGUCUUCCUUAUGGAAAUAAUCCUAAUAAAGCAUCGGUGUGCGAUGCGUGUCAACAAGGGAAAAGCCAUCAGCUACCCUUUCCUCGUUCGAAUAGAGCGUCCACUGUUCCUUUAGAACUUGUUUUUUCCGAUGUUUGGGGACAUGCUUGUCUCUCAUCAGGAGGUUUUAAGUAUUACGUGAGUUUUGUUGAUGAUUUUAGCAAAUUCACUUGGUUGUUUUGUCUUCGUAAUAAAAAGGAUGUUGAACAAGUUUUUC